UCAUAAUUUAUUAUUAAAAAUUCACAAAUAAUCAACAACAAAAUAUAAAAAAAAAAGUAUAAACAAAAAAUUCCAGAAUAAGCAAAGCAGUCAGAAUCAACCAUAAAUAUCUCAAAAUUAGAAAAAUUUCAGCCAUCCAGCACAAUGCAAUGAAGCAUGCACCAUAACACCAUCAACAAUUCAGAAUCAGAAAAUCAGCAAUCAGAAUUACCAAUCCAAAAUUAAAAUAAAUCAGCAUAAACAACACAAGAUAGAAUUGUGGCAAUGUUUUUAUUUUGAAUCAAUAACAGCAAAACAAUUCACCAAAAUAACAACUACAACAGACUGAAUUGAAAACUAGCAACCAGAACCACCAAUCCAAAAUCAGAAUAAAUCAGCAUAAAUAAAACAGCACAAGAUAGAAUUGUAGCAAUGUUUUUAUUUUGAAUCAAUAACAGCAAAACAAUUCACCAAAAUAACAAGCACAACAGAUUAGAUUUAAAAAUCAAUCUCAGCAGAAUUAAUAAAUUAAACAAUUGAAUUUAUAACUCAUCAACGACAGAAAUCAAAUAAAAAUUCAAAAAUUAAUAUCUCAAAACUCAGAAUCAUCAAUAAUACACAAGGUUCUGAAAACCGGACCGGUCAUCAAACCGUUUUAGUCACUGGUUCAUUGGUCCAACCGGUGGUUCAACCGGAAAAACAGUGUUAAAAUAAAAUAAUAGAUAAAUUAUAAAGGACCAAAGAUGAAGGUACUCCAAGAACUGCUAUUAGAUGCAACAGCAUUCAACAUUAUCACAUAUUCUCACACACACAUACAAAGCCUUAACUCAAAGAACAACCACAGCAAGUGACUUGGAAAGAAAAUGUAAACACCGAAACAAUCACAAGCAUACAGAACAUGUGAAUAUUAUUAUAGCAAACAUAAUAAUAAAAUAGCUCUUCUAAUGCGUCUCCGAAAAUAUCCCAAAUAAAAAAAACUACAUAAUCUGAUCCACUUGAUUCAGAAAGCUACAUAUAUUAGAAAAAUUAAGAAUCAACUAAAAGAAAAAGAAAAGGAAGGCCUGGUUGAUUUGAUUCAAUUGCCUGAGAUGAAGAAUCAAACAGGGCUGAGAAGCUGAGAUUUUAAAUGUUAAACCUCAAUAUUCAAAUACCAUGACUCCAUUAUUGUUAUUAUUACACCCUUCUAAUGUCACAAACUCAAUAUAUAUUAUAGUCCGUUGACACUUGUGUAUUCACAACUUGGCCUCAUCAUUCUGAUUCAUACCUUAAGUAGAAGAAAAAGUCCCAAUCAGCUUUCGUUACAAUUUUAUCCAGAGAGUUGGGGUUUUGGUUCGGAGUUCAUGCCAAUGAUAAUGACGAGAGGGAUGAAUCCGUGAAUCAGUAACAUGGGCAGUGCAAAUUUAAAAUUUAAAAGUUAUCAAUUUAAAAUUUAUCAUCAAAUACAAUCAGUGAGCAAAGCCAAUCAAUCAAGCACUGACUAGGCAUUCUGUUCUGAUUCUGUGACUGGGAAGCAACAAAUUCAACAACAAAUUCAAGUUACAGCAACAAAUUUAACAAAUCCCAGUAAAGUCCGAUUUACAGCAAAAAGGCAAAUUUAUUGAUUACCAAUUCAGCAACAUGCAGAAAUACAGGGAGAAGGGAAAUCUGGAAAAGAGAGAACACUAAACCAAAACAUUAACCAAUAAUCACAAAACACAAAACCUUCACCCAGCAAUUACAAACAAAGCCAGCAAUUACAAACAUUAGCACAUUAUAAAACAUUCCAAAACACUAAACCUUCAUCCAGCAAAACCAGCAACUACAAACAAAGCCAUCAGUAAAUUUGAACCAAAAAUUAAGAGCCAUCAGCAACUAACAGAGCCAUCGAGCUAUCGGUAACAGAGCCAUCAGUAACAGAGCAAAGAAUUGAAAGCAACAGACUAACAGAGCCAUCAGUAAAUUUGAAAAAAAAUUUUACAGGCCUCAGCAACCAGCAAAUACAAGACAGAUCCAUCAGCAGCAGACAAUUACAAUUUACAAAACAUUACAAGAAAAAUGGAACAAAAAUUGAACAAUUUCAGAAUUUCAAACGAAGAAGAAAA